GAAGUAGCCGGGCUAGCAUCAGUAAUAUCUAAUAUUUUUAAAUGACAACUUUACCUCUUUACGUUCCAGCUCCGAAACAUUUCGGGCACCUGGGUUAUUUUUUCUUAAGUAGUUGGCUACAGAACAAGCUCAAUGUCUACUCCUUAUUAAUGGAUACAAUAGUUGGGACUGCUAAGUUUUUGAUUGAAGGAGCCUAAAGGCUUCAAAAUUUAUGUUUGGCUACUGGCGUUAAGUAUCGCCUCUUUCCAGUACAAAACGAAGUGUGUUUAGGCCUGGCGUGACUAAGAAGUCUGAGAUCUGCGAUUCAAGCCUCUAGCAUAUAUAUAUGAGAAAAUAAUGGUAGCGAAAUAUAGCUGAAGGUACUGAGCGCUGUAAUAGUGAAGCAAGCUCCGUUUCAUCUAGUCGUUAUUGCUUGCGCCAACUCCCGUGAACUGCUGGGUGACGAUGAUCCGUGGAGGCUACGUACGUAAUGCAUUCGCACAGCCCGCUUCUGAAUAUCGUCAAACUACGUCAGCCUGCGCCGCGCCUUCUUAGUAGGUUAACUGUCGUGAAAGCCGCCCCAACUUCUUGCGAUUAAAAAGUUCAGCUGUUAUGGCCAUACAGCGUGAGCAGGCUAUAAGGCUAACAUACGUCAGUCACAGAUCCGAUAGGCGUGGAGGUUUACUGGCCUAUAUGGAAAAACACACGGCGUUUUAUCAGUAUCGCCGUUUGUGCGUAUUAUUCAUGACGCCUAUAUUGCGUAAAGAGAAAAUACGGACUUAGCCGGGCCAAAUUGGGGCUUAGUCGGGCUCCUGUUAUGGGUUAAGUAAGUGAUGGUAUCGCCUAUAGCGACACGACCCACUGUCCCACCCAAAGCCCUAGUUGACGCGCCGUUUGGGCAGCUACUGCUACUGUCUCUACGGUUGCUGUGGCUUCUUAGGGGCAAUGGCUACUGAGACGAAAGGAAAAUGACCGCACUGAUACUGCUGCCUAACUUAGAUGAUUCGGCCUCGUGAUGUAGACCCAACUCGGGAAAGGAAGUAAGGAAACAACAACAACAACAGCAGCAGCAGCGGCGUUACUUUUUUCGUGUACCGUUGCCCAUAGUGUCUGCGCUUGUGACUAUAUGUAUAUGCGUGCGUGUGUUGUCUGUGUACGCGCGGCUUCGCUAUAAGAUUUUCCGCUUGGAAGGCCCCGACUAAAUUGCUUUUUAUGUAUUAGCAUAUAGCGAACGACGCCCCUACCAUUGCCCUGCUUGCCGUCACUGCCGCCAACGACGGCUGUGGUAUGGCGGCGGCCACUGUCAUACUGUGUCGUCGCUGGAUCCCUCGAUGUAGGCAAGAAAGCAAGCAAACUCGCUCACAAUUCCCUACUUUAUUCCCCUGCACCAGUGCUCAUCGCUUGAGCCCUCCUCCUUCAUGACUUGACGCACGGUACGAAAUCCCCUGUAGUGAGCCCGAAGAGCCGCUUAGCCGCUUUUCUAUAGAAAGCCAGUACAAGCAGAAGUGGUGCUAACAUUUUGUAGCAAUAUCAGAAAAGAGCAAGACCAAUAGCUACCAUGGCUUUUUCCUUCCGACGACAGCCACAACAACAAUUGCUGCUGCUGUUCCUAUCAGCUGCUUGCGAUUUUGCUUUUUUAUAGAUGGUCUAUUUGAACACAUUUAUGUGAAUAGCGUCGAGCAAAAGACCACUGGGCACCAGCCGAUUAUAACGGCAGUCGAAACGGUCAGAAAUGACUCGUAGAUUGAUAGUGUGAUAGGAAGACAACAUUACUAGAAUUUACGUUUGUCACUUGCCCUGUCCCUAACAAUAGUUUGUCUGAUGCCACAGGAGAGGGCUAGGUGGCAAACAAAACCAUCCCAAUUCUUCUAAUUCGUCUUUCCAACCGGUCCUCAACCCAUGCAUCUAAGAUAGUUGGACAAAUAUUGCAGUUUUUGCGUUAUUCUCCUAUCCCGGAAGGUAUCUAUCGCAAAAGUUUCCACAAUGUUUUCUAUAACAAAAGGCUUUCUCCGCCUCGAGUUCGCCUUGACUGCUCUUUGCGGCAAACGGUAUUUAACGUCGAGUACAGUCGCUCCGAUUCGAGCGGGAUAUGCAAAGUUUCAACAUGACCUAGUGUCACGUUGAAACAUAGCGAACCGAUGUCAAGCUAUAGUUAGCCACGUUAUCAGUACUAAAUUACUUUUCAAUUAUGUAAAUCGUAUCGUUCGAAUUGACGUAAUUUCGGCAAAGAGCAAGUAAAAAAAAACGUAGAAUAUACACCUGGAAUAUCCAUCCCUGUAACCUGAACUAGUGGUAAUAUUUCGUUCACCGUAUAAUUUGCAACACGUCGAAAGCGAAAAAAGAAAGCCGCUUAAACGCUAUAUACUGCUAUCUGUGUGCUACUGCUACUUAGUCAGUUGGAGAUGAUGGCCGCGGAAAGACUACGUUCAGUCGCUUGAUAAGUACGGAACUGAUUUUAAUACCCCCUAUCAAGAGUAAAUUUUCAAAAUACGUAACUAAGUAAAGGAGGUGGGAAGAGCCAGCGAACAAAGUGUUUGCCCCAAAAAAGUAGCUAAAUAAUCUUUGCUGGAACGUAAGUGCUUUAUAAAUGACACAGUGUUCCUUCCGCGAACAUGGUUUUUUUUUUACCAUUUUCUUUGUCAAAUAUAGAUUGUCUUACGACGCGCAUCUAGACUGAGGAACAUAGAACGCUAAAUUUUAUGAUUUACAAAUAGGUCGACGUAUGCUUGCGCAGUACCUUUUAAUGUGAGCAAUAACACCUCGUCAUAAAUUUUUUGUCGACAUAUCGUUCGUGACAAGUGUUAUAUAUGGCUGUCCAGGCCAUACAUGGUUGUCGAUUAGAUAAUUUAUACCAACAAUAUUAUGUGUACCGUAAGUAAAGUACGCCUCCGAAGACAGAAACUCGUUACCGAACAUCUAACUCGACCCUGUGCGCUGCUAUAUCUAAGCCACUGUUUGAAAUCUCAGAUUAACUUAAGGCACUUCCUUGACCGACCGCUAAUAAUCAGCGUCGCCAUCGUUCUGAAACGAAUUCCUUAUUUUUCUUCACGUAAAAACGUAUGGCCUUUCUAAUUAUACCUCACUUUUGCAAAGCUACUGUUGCUUCUCCUUUUCCACAUCUAACGUUUAGCUGUGAAACAAGAUUCUAUAAUCUUGUUUCACAGCUAAACGUUAAAGACUUUCCUCACCUGAAGAGAAAGACGGUCCCGUCACAGGAGA
rnacentral:lncRNA from 1 species